AUUGAACGCUGGCGGCAGGCCUAACACAUGCCAGUCGAGCGGGGACUUCGGUCCUAGCGGCGAACGGGUGAGUAAUGCUUGGGAAUCUGCCCAGUAGUGGGGGAUAACGUCCCGAAAGGGACGCUAAUACCGCAUACGUCCUACGGGAGAAAGAGGGGGAUCUUCGGACCUCUCGCUAUUGGAUGAGCCCAAGUCGGAUUAGCUAGUUGGUAGGGUAAUGGCCUACCAAGGCGACGAUCCGUAGCUGGUCUGAGAGGAUGAUCAGCCACACUGGAACUGAGACACGGUCCAGACUCCUACGGGAGGCAGCAGUGGGGAAUAUUGGACAAUGGGCGAAAGCCUGAUCCAGCCAUGCCGCGUGUGUGAAGAAGGCCUUCGGGUUGUAAAGCACUUUAAGCGGGGAGGAAGGUUCGCGGCCUAAUACGUCGCGGAAUUGACGUUACCCGCAGAAUAAGCACCGGCUAACUCUGUG
rnacentral:rRNA from 1 species